GACGAACGCUGGCGGCGUGCUUAACACAUGCAAGUCGAACGGAAAGGCCCUGCUUUUGUGGGGUGCUCGAGUGGCGAACGGGUGAGUAACACGUGAGUAACCUGCCCUUGACUUUGGGAUAACUUCAGGAAGCUGGGGCUACUACCGGAUAGGAGCUCCUGCUGCAUGGUGGGGGUUGGAAAGUUUCGGCGGUUGGGGAUGGACUCGCGGCUUAUCAGCUUGUUGGUGGGGUAGUGGCUGACCAAGGCUUUGACGGGUAGCCGGCCUGAGAGGGUGACCGGCCACAUUGGGACUGAGAUACGGCCCAGACGCCUACGGGAGGCAGCAGUGGGGAAUAUUGCACAAUGGGCGGAAGCCUGAUGCAGCAACGCCGCGUGCGGGAUGACGGCCUUCGGGUUGUAAACCGCUUUCGCCUGUGACGAAGCGUGAGUGACGGUAAUGGGUAAAGAAGCACCGGCUAACUACGUG
rnacentral:rRNA from 1 species